AGAAAUCCUCUUUCCCAUUCACGCUUUCACACUCACACAUCUUGCUCUUGCUCUUCCCCUUGCCUUAUCCCCUAUCCCACUCCAAAAUUGCUGCCGCCGGUAGCUCCCAUCAGCUUGAUUCCCUGAUUCAGUGCCUUGAGCUUGCUCGUCCUCACCUACAGCCAGCCCCGCAGCUUGAUUCAUUUGUGCGGCCAUAGCGUGACCUUCGACGGCGGCUGGUUUGUCUCUUGAUCUCCUCGUACGCCUCCUCGGUCUCCUCCUAGGCUGGUAAACGUCGAUGGAGUGGUAGGAGGGCCCAAGGUGCAGCUGCUCAAGGGAGGAGGCGAGAUCAUCAAUCUGCACGAUGUUGUUGCUGUCAAUGUCCGUGCAGGUGAUGUUGGCGUGGAUUUCGUCUCCCACAACUGCUUUGAUCCAUCUUUAGUAUCAGGAUGGUGGAGAUGUUUUCUGCCCCUAGAGCGCCAGCCAGACGCAUCCUCCACAUCGGCAACAUUCUUCGAAGUUUGAAGUGUGUUGCCUAACUGGGAACUAUUGGAUGUGGGGAGAGAAGAAACUUUACCUUGUUGUUGACCGAAAACAGUAGUAAAGCUCCAACCUCUAGGUAAAUAUCAUCCUUGACGAAGAGGUCGAAUUCUGGCCACUUAUAGGGUCUGUGUAUGGUGUGUAUCUCAAGUUCCAACUCUCACCUGAUUGGUCUUCUAAUCUCGCUCUAGCUGGCUGACAGGAGAAUUCAUAUGUUAAUAACAAUGCUCCAAGAGCAAUCCAACCAUCCAAGGCAUAUGGUUUUGGAGAUCAGCUGUUUGCAAAUACGGAAGGAAAAAUACCUUAUAACAGCUAGCUGUGGGGUGAAAGCAGAUGUGGUUUUGGAGAUCAGCAGUUUGCAAAUAUGGAAGGGAAAAUACCUUAUAGCAGCUAGCGGUGGGGUGAAAGUAGAUUGCAAUUUGAUUGCAAUAUUUUUUAUUCAGUUAUGUUUGCACGUGGCUGUACCACAUCAAAACUGAUUGAACCUUCCUAAUCUCGUCGCAAUUCUUUUGCCCUAUUUGCCAUACAUGCCUAUCUCUUGUGUAUUCAUUGAUUAAUUUUUGUUGAGCGUCCUGGCUACCAAUCUAUCCUGCUUAGUAGUUGAUCCUAUUAAUAAGGGACAAAAUAGAAGUAACAAUGCAGGGAAGAACAAUAGCAUACCUAGUCAUCAAGGCCGGAUUCCUGUAUGCACACUGGGCGGCAGAGAGCGAACGGCAUGGGUGGGGAGGGGAAUGAUAUGUUUGAGGUUGAGGAUGCAUGGUCAGCCCGAGGGGAGGCUCGAUCAAUCUCGGCAGUUACCCCAUCGUCCGGCGUGGCUUCCAUGGGGGCAUGGAGGCGAUGAUUUUUAUCUUUAGGAAACGAUUAAUUUCUGUUCUUUUUAUAGGGAAUAUAGAUAUUCUUCUGUUAGGAUAGCGAUGAGAUUUGGAUGUGAGUUUGUUUUUUUAGUGAAAAGAUAUGGGAAGUGAGAUAUGUACGUGAUGGAUGUGAGGUUGUUUUUUUAAGUAAAAAGAUAUGGACCUGAUAUUGUUUUUUUGUUGUUGAAAAAGGUGAAUUGUUAAUCAGUUUUUUUAGUGAAUUGGUAGGAUAUGUAAUGGCAAAGGUGGGUAAUUAAUUUUCCUUUGGUUAGAUCGGACGAUUGUAAUUUUUUGUCUACUAAAAUAAAUGGCCAGCUGUU
rnacentral:rRNA from 1 species